GACGAACGCUGGCGGCGUGCUUAACACAUGCAAGUCGAACGCUGAAGCUUGGUGCUUGCCCUGGGUGGAUGAGUGGCGAACGGGUGAGUAAUACGUGAGUAACCUGCCCUGGACUCUGGGAUAAGCCUGGGAAACUGGGUCCAAUACUGGAUAUGACAUGCCACAGCAUGGGGGUGGGUGGAAAGGGCUUUACUGGUUUUGGAUGGGCGCACGGGCUAUCAGCUUGUUGGGGGGGAAAGGGCCGACCAAGGCGACGACGGGUAGCCGGCCUGAGAGGGGGGACGGCGACACUGGGACUGAGAGACGGCGCAGACUCCUACGGGAGGCAGCAGUGGGGAAUAUUGUGCAAUGGGGGGAAGCCUGAGGCAGCGACGCCGCGUGAGGGAUGACGGCCUUCGGGUUGUAAACCUCUUUCAGCACGGAAGAAGCGAGAGUGACGGUACGUGCAGAAGAAGCGCCGGCUAACUACGUG
rnacentral:rRNA from 1 species